AUGAGAAAUAGUAGUGAUGUCAUGAUUAGCCAAACAGAUGGAUCUGUCACAGGUGUCAUUGGUACAAGUAGAAAAAGCCAAGAACGUUUUUCCAAUUUAACACAUUACUAUACUGAAAAAAAAAAUGUUUUAUCUCCAUUACUAUUAUCUAGUACUUCAGUAGUAGAAGGUAUGGGAAUAAUGGUAACUACUUGUGUCAGUAAACACAAACAGAUGUUUCAUAAAAUGACUAGGGACGUUGAAGAUGAUCUGACAGCGUUUGAAGUGUUAAUAAAUAGUUAUGCACAAAAUGUGAUUAUUAUUAUUAUAUUUUGUUGUUCUUUAUGUAUUUUGCUUGUUUUUUUACAUUUUUUUAUAAGCUUAAUAGAAAAUAGUAUGCAAACUUUAUCUUAUCAUAUAUUAAUUUUUUUGUUAAAUGCAUUUAUUUUAGAAAUACUUAAAUAUUUAUUAGUAUCAAUAGAUCAAUUUCCUUUAUUGUUACAAAAUAAUAUAGCAUUAAAUUCGAAUAGAAUAAUAAAAGAAAAUUUUAUUAUAAAAAAUAAAAAAAUAUUUGAACGAGUUAUGUUUACAAAUACAAUAUUUAUCGAUAUAGACAGAUAUAUAAAAUAUAAGUGUAUAUAUUUUUUUUAUAACCAUAAUUAUUCAAUUUGUUUUGAUUCUAAAUGGAGACAUGCACAUGAUCAUGUUCAUAUGGAUAACUACUUAGAUAGUAACACAAAACAUGAUUUUAUAAGUAACAGUACUACUGAAUAUCUACCUAAAUCUAAUCCUACAUGUGGUUCUUCUUUUUUUUCUAAAAUAAAAAUAAUUGAUAAGAAUAUGAAACUAUAUAAUAAUAACAUGGGCGAGUUUCAGUAUAUCACACACCAAUUAUUUUUUUUGUUACUAAUUCAAUGUAUUUUUACAACUAGUAACUUGUAUCAUUUUAAUAUGUAUUAUUCUUUAAUAGAUUUGGCUUUACUCAAAUUUAUGAAUAACUUUAACAUAAACUUAGAAAAUUUUUUUAUUUCUAAAAAAUAUAUUUUACAUAUAAUAGAAAAAACAAGUGAAGACAUGGUUGCAGCAUUUGUAUUAUUUAACUCUUUGUUGUUAAAUAAUGCUGACAAGUCAGGAGAUGCAAAAAAAAACAAAAACCAAGAAAUGCAAAGCUUAAAUAGUGAGAAGAACCGUGAAAGCAGUGAAGGUGUAAGUACAAAAAAUGAAUUGAACGUUAUAAGGAUAUUUAUAAAGGGCAGUUCGACUGUAGUUUUGUCUAAAUGUAGUCAGUACCUGGAUGGAGACAAGUUAUGCAGUGAUAUAGACAAACUUAAAGAAAAAGCAGAAGAUGUCGAAAAGAAUGAACCCGGAGCUGUUAUUUGCUUCGCAUGUAAAGAAAUCAUCUUAACAGAAGAUGAUAAGGACGUUCUUGAAAUAAAUAAUAAUAACUUCAAUAGCGAUUAUAAUACUAAUAAUUAUAGUACGGAUAUUGAUUUUGAUUUUGAUUUUGAUUAUAAUUAUGAUGAUGCAUUUGAAGAGUCUGAAAUAAAAAGGAAAAAAAUGAAGAAGAGAAAAAAGUUAUAUACAAAAUAUUUAGAACAAAAUGACUUUAUAUGCAUAUCUGUUUUAGUUUUUGAAAAGGCGUUAAGCAAACAUUUCUAUUUUGAUUAUAAAUUGUUAGAAACGAAUGAUAUAUGUGUAAAAUUUUUUACUAAAGAUAAUGUAUUAAAAACGACUAAAGUAUUAAACAGCGAUAUGUUUUUUUUUACGAAGAAUUUAAAAAUAUGUGAUGCUAAAAAUUUAGGUUUUACGGAUACGUCAAAUUCGAAUUUUGAAUGUGAUGACAUUUAUGGAAAUAAAAGUAUGUUGGUAUCUAAACGUAGAAUAAAUGCUAACACGAGUAAUACGACUAUAGGUGAUACGACAGCGACAUGUGAUGCGACACCUAGUAAUGCCAAUUAUAAUCAUUACAUAAAAAAAGAGAAUAAGGCAAGCUCUAACGGAUAUGCAAACAUGAUUGAUCACAAAAAUUAUAGUAAAGAAAACGAUGGAAGUGAAACUACUAAGAAUAAACAUCCUAGUGAAAAAGUACCACAUAUGUUAAGCAAUAUGUUACCAACGCAAGAUUCAAAUGAAAUUUCUUACGCCGAGUAUGAUAAUUUAUACCAUUAUAAACUAAAAAAUAAUACAGGUAAGGAUGUUAAUACAACUAAUACUACUAGUAAUGACAAAGAAAACCAGUAUCUCGAACACAACAUGAAAAGUGAAAUAGUUGAUUUAAAUAUAUUAAAUAAUGAUUAUGAUUCAAAAUGUUUCAAAAUAAAAAACAUGAAAGAUAUAGAGAAUAACAGCCAUAGUGAUAUUAUUUAUAAACAUGAUAUUUUUUGUAAUUGUAAUAGUCAAGAACUUAUAUAUAUAAUGCACUUUUAUAUACGUUAUGGAAAUUUUGCUUUAGUAACAAAUGAUAGUAACUUAAUAAAUGAAAGCUAUUAUAAUAACUUAUUAUCUUUAAUAACUGUAUGUGAUAAAACGAGUAAUGAUGAGCAUAAAGAGAAAAGUGACAUUGUGCUAUUAAAUAAAAGCUUAUUUAACUAUAUGAAAAUAAAAUAUAUAUCUAAUCGUUUAUUUAUGAAUAUACUUUUGUUUAUUGAGUAUAAUAUAACUAUGUAUACCUGUCUUAUUAUUUUAUCUAUCAUUACUUGUUUAGUUCAUGGAUAUGAAUGUUUAAACACAAUUCAAAUAUUAUAUUUAUAUGCUAAUAAAAAUAUUAUUUUACACUAUAUUUCUUGUCUUCGAAAGAGUGAUUUUUGUAUUGGAGAAAAUAAGAAUAAAAAAAACGUUAAAGACAUGUUUAAAGAUAUUAAUAUAAAUAAAGUAAUUUCAUGUAUUUUUUCUAAAACUAUUAUUUUGGUAUUUAUUUUCUUAUUUGGACACUUGUUUAUACCUGAAAGUAAGUGGGAUUUCGUUCCUGACGUUAUGAGAGAAGAAUUAGGCUUUUCCGAAUUUUCAUAUUUCAAAGAAAAUAAAUCAAUUUUUUUUUUUUAUAAUACUAUUAGAUCAUCUAUAAAGUUUAAAAGAAAUAUUGAGCAAUUAAAAAUAAUAGACAAAUUUAACAUUCGAAAUGAUUACAGAACAGUAAGUGAAUGGGAAAUGUAUAUAAGUCCAAGUAGACAUGGGACAAUUAUGUUUAACGUCUUUUUUCUACUUUUCUUUUUCUAUUUUGUUUAUCUUUAUAUAAAAUCUUUUAUAAAAGAAAUAAAUAUAUAUAUUGAUAAAAUACAUAAAAAAAAA
rnacentral:lncRNA from 1 species